rnacentral:piRNA from 1 species
UAGGGUGAACGAGUGAGAAAACCUGC